GCCGGCCCCGGGGAAGGGGGCGAGCGGGCGGGCAGGCGCCUGAUGUUAGGACGCGAGUCCGUUGUGGGGAAUCCCACCCUGCGCUCUCCCCUGGGGACCCUCAGCCCCGCAACCGCGAGGCAUGAAUACCUCAUCACCAUCCUCUUCCUUGGCCCCAUUUUCUUGAGAUGAUCCAGUCUCCCUUAAAUCUUCACCAUCUCCGGAGUCGGACUGAGACUUCCGGAAUUUCCUGGAGGGGGGUCUGCGCUUCAGUGAUCCCCGUGUCCGCACCUGAGAACAGGCAGGCAAAAGAGGGAGUCCAAUGGAUCACAGUGAGAGGGAAUUUCAAAACAGAUGCAGCGAUCUCCUAAUUUGGCUGCAAACACACCCUGUGAAGACUGAAUUGGAAGGUAUCGUAAUUCCUAUGGUUGGAGCACAGCUAGGAAUGGACAGCCUCCUCUCCUCAAAUGCCGAUGAGGUCAAGCAGCUCAGCAUUGCUCCAAGCGGGGGAUCGUCUGGGUCUCCAUCCUCCAGAGCUGGGAAGUGACACAACCCACGGGACAGUCCUGUUUCAUAACUCUGCCUCCAGGACAGGUGAAAGAAGAUUUAAAAGUAUUUUCUGAAAGCCAGGUUUUAGAUUUAAACCUGACCCUGCUCAUGGUUGUGGUGAUAUUAGCCACCUAGAUGCCAUCAAAGCAUAACUAUAUGGCCCUACAGCAUACUUAUGUCUUGCCCUAUUAAAGCGACUGUUUUGCAUACAAACCCUAUUACUGUUUAGCAGAUCCUGGAAUAAAAUAAACUUGUCAUGAUAUUUUUA